UGCUUUCCCUGUCUUAUCUCCUUUUCCUCUUUCCUUCAUUGAAGAUGUUAGACCCAUCACAGUAGCUGCCAUCUGUGAAAAUGGGCUGAAGGGAAUUAGUGACAUCUGUCUCAGUGAGCAUCUGGUGACAGCCCAACAAUACACAGGCACAGAGAAGGACCACAUCUUUCUGGAUCCCCGUGGAUUGAAGAGCUUGCCUCUGGAGCCCUUCAGUAUUCAGAAUAAGCUUGAAUGAUUUUUAUGAGGUCUGGAGGCUGAGAAGUCCAGUACCAUGCUGCCUGCUGGUAGAUUCGGUGUCUGGUGAGAACCCACUUCCUAAGCAGCUAUUCCCUCAUUAAGGGGGAAGGAGCUGGGGAGCUCUUUUAUAAGGUGAGAAACCACAGAAACACAGAAGAGAAAAACCAUUUUUGUAUACGCAAACUUUUGGAUCCUGGAAAGAUUAUGAGCUCUGGAUGAAGCAGGCCUAUCCUUGGAUCCUGCCUCUACUGCUUAAAGUCGCUAUGG